rnacentral:lncRNA from 1 species
GCCUCCUAAUUUUCCUUACAAAGAUGAUAUCAUGGCGGUGAAUCCUACCUGUUUGGUCCUUAUUAUUCUUCUGUUUAUCAGCAUCAUGUUGACUUUUAAGGGUUACUUGAUUAGCUGUGUUUGGAACUGCUACCGAUACAUCAAUGGCAGGAAUUCCUCCGACGUCCUGGUUUAUGUUACCAGCAAUGACACUACGGUGCUGUUGCCUCCGUAUGAUGAGGCCCCAGCGAAUGGCGCUGCCAAGGAGCCGCCGCCACCUUACGUGUCUGCCUAGACCUGGAAGUGGGCACAGCUGAGAGCGACAGCUUGCCUCUCAGACAUCAGAGCAAUAGUUCUUUAAUUUUACUUCUGAGAUGAGCUCUCUGAGCUUUUUUGUUGCUGAGAUGCUCCAGUUUAAAAUGUUAGAUGUUAAGUUGAAACUAUCUGUAGUUCGAAACAUAUGCUUUUUAGCUAGAGCACUGUAUUAGAGUAACUGUAGCAUUUUCCCUGUGGGGGGUGGGAGCGGUGGGCUCCCCUGGUGUCCCCUCAGCAUCCACACUGAACCCCCAGCAUCCAAGAAUUUGUGUCCCUUCUCUCUGUUCCCUCUUUCUCUUUUGCAAGUGUGAAAGAAAACCAAAAUUAGACAGUGCUUUUCUUAGGCCAUUCCAGUGCAUAGAACAAACCCUGAGGAGAGCCAGGGAUGUUAAUUACGGAAGGAGGCCAUGUAUAUACAUUAAUAAAACAGGCAUUUCCUCAGAUCCCUUUAUGAUUUAAAUUCGGUGGCAGUUUGAUUUUGCUGGUCGAGUAUUUUGGCCACAGGCUAAAUUGAGACCCUUUGACCAUCCCGGGCAGUGAGAGCCAGCAGUCACCCCUUCCCAGUGGCCGCUCCUGUCACUUGUGUCUGGGGUCGUGGCAUGGCGUGUUGGGGGGGCAACUCUUUUGUUUGGUAGUGCAUGGUGUCGGGGUUCCCCUCCCCCUUUCUGGUUUCCCAUCCCCCUUCAGAGCCCCCUUUCACUAAACGUUCUGCCCUAGCCUGACUCAGGACAUCCGGCAUCCUUUGUUCAGUGGGAUUUCUGGUCCAUAUUUACCUAGCAAUAUAAGGAGAGGCUUCUCUCCUGCAAGGCACGUCUCAUUGCACGUCUAAUAAUUACACCUCGUCUUCUUUUACAAUGAGUAUAAAACAGUGUUCUCGGAAUAACGGGAGGGAGGGUGCUUUCCUUGUGAAAUGCCCUUAUCUGGACUACCUGUAUCUUGGGGGACUUUUAUAUAUUCCUGUGUUCAAAAGCCACAGCUCUCCUGUUGGUUCAUCUUUGAAUGUGCUAUAUACAUGAAGGCUUUUGCAAUUAAAAAUGACAUUUGGCCACAUCCAAGAAAUCAGCCUUGUGACUCUGUGGUGAUUGGGCCUGGGACACCCCUGCCACUCCCCCUCUCACUCUCCCCCCGACCCCCCACCCCCUCCCACCCAUGGGGGGCUGCACAGACACAUACCGUUGGGCCUGAGGAGGAGGUGUUAUAGCUUGUCUCACACACGUGUGUUUUUUAAUAUUGCAGUGCUGAUAAAAUCUGAGCAUCUUAGGCCAAGAGAAAUGGAGAGGAACAGACAAGGUUGCAUCACUCCUGACCCUGCCUCUGCCAGGCUCUGCCAGCUCAGCUCCUUUGGGUGUGACUGCUUCUGUCCACGGUGCACUCUUAAUACGCAGUUCAGAUUUUACUAUGUAAGGAGCGGUUUUGGCUUGUUCCUGAUCAGGUAUUUCAGACAACUUGGAAAUGUACAGAAAAUAAAAUGAGGUGAAGGGGGUGAUUUUGAUCCCGG